rnacentral:rRNA from 1 species
GAUGAACGCUAGCGGCAGGCCUAAUACAUGCAAGUCGAACGGGAUCCAGAUCAAAGCUUGCUUUGGUCUGGUGAGAGUGGCGCACGGGUGCGUAACGCGUGAGCAACCUACCCUUGUCAGGGGGAUAGCCCGGCGAAAGUCGGAUUAAUACCGCAUGACAUCAUUGAGAGGCAUCUUUCGAUGAUCAAAGAUUUAUCGGACAAGGAUGGGCUCGCGUGACAUUAGCUAGUUGGUAAGGUAACGGCUUACCAAGGCUGCGAUGUCUAGGGGCUCUGAGAGGGAAAACCCCCAACCGGGUACUGGGACACGGCCCAGACUCCUACGGGAGGCAGCAGUAAGGAAUAUUGGUCAAGGGACGGAAGUUGAAACCAGCCUGGCCGCGGGCAGGGGGCCGGCCCUUUGGGUUGUAAAAUGUUUUUAUACGGAAAAAACCGUGGGUACGUGAACCGGUCGGGGUGUACCGAAAAAAAAAGGAUCGGCUAACCCCGU